rnacentral:lncRNA from 1 species
GUCUGCAGAUUUGUCCCGUUCUCAAGAUGAAGCAUGCUUCAGCCAUCGUCUUGCUUCUUGGCCUAGCCGUGUUCAUGGACAUAAGCCGUUUACCAGGGGGUGUCUUUGCAGACGACUACACAGACGACUAUGCAGACGAAAACGGUUGGACCCAAGCUAGGUGCCAAGAGAGCUGCCAAAAUAAGGACUACAUGAUCGGCCUUUUUAUGCCAGGUGACCCCGAAUCUAACUGCAGGUGCAUAAUG